CCCCGCCGCCCCCGGCCCGCCCGCGGCCCCGCCGCCCGUGCCCCGCUGCCAGGGCAGGGGGACUGGGAAACUUUCUUUUUUGUUGUUGUUGGGGGGGGGAAGAAAGAAAAAACAAAAAAGUUGGUUUUUUGCCCCCCUCCUCUCUGUGUGUCUCUCUCCUCCCGCUGUCAGGUGACUUUUUAGCGUUAGAAGCUAAUGAGCGUGGAUGCUCUGGGGAUCCCAGUGAUGGACCCUGCUGCUCUCUCCAGGCGGAAACCGGCGCUGAGAUUAGUAGACUUGGCGGGGGCUCCUCGCCACCACCACCCCCCUCAGAGCAUGACAGGCUUGCCGGGCCUCUCCGGGCGCCCCCACGCCGCUCAGCCGGGGCAGCACGCCGCCGAGUGCCGCCUCGGGCCGCAGCCACUCCGGCCAGAACACAUGGGGCACCGCCACCAUCCUCAUCCUCCUCCUCAGCAUCACCCCGCGGCCCUUAAGCUCAGCCCUGCCCCUCAUCCCCACCACCAGCUCCACCACCACCACCACCACCAUCAUCAUCAUCAUCAUCAUCAUCAUCAUCAUAUGGCAGGCCAAGCCGAGGUGGUCUCUAGUCAAACGGGAGCGUUUGGCCCGGCGCAGUCACCAGCAGCCCCUUACCCCGUGUCUCACCCAGCCCAGGCUCUGGCAGCAGGUAGGGACUUCUUCAUACGCAGAGCCCUGCCGCCCCCACUCAUGCCAGGGCUGACCGAGCAGCACCCCCCUGCAAGUUCUCACCACGGACUAUUUGUCUCAACAACAGGUAGCUACCCCGGACACCAUGGUCACCACCACCACCACUCAGAAGCUGGGAAUCCCUCUCUGUUCACUGGACUCCAUGAGCAGCCUCCCCAUGCAGCUCCAGGUGGCCAUCUAAACGGACAGCUCAGACUGGGGUUACCUGGAGAAAUGUACGCCAGGUCUGAACAUUUCACUCAAGUACCAGCCUCCAGGACAGAUCAUUUUGCUGCUUCUUCACUCCAUAACUACGGUGGUAUGAACCUGAACGUGAACCUGGCUCCACACCACGGCCCGGGUGCCUUCUUUCGUUACAUGAGGCAGCCCAUCAAACAGGAACUCAUCUGUAAGUGGAUUGAGUUGGACCAGACUCCUAAAAAAUUAUGCUCGAAAACUUUCAGCACGAUGCACGAGCUGGUGACUCAUGUCACGGUGGAGCACGUUGGAGGACCCGAGCAGUCCAAUCACAUAUGUUUCUGGGAAGAGUGUCCAAGAGAAGGGAAACCUUUCAAGGCCAAAUAUAAACUUGUAAAUCACAUCAGAGUCCACACAGGUGAAAAACCUUUCCCCUGCCCUUUCCCAGGCUGUGGCAAAGUGUUUGCCAGAUCAGAGAAUCUCAAAAUACACAAAAGAACUCAUACAGGGGAGAAGCCGUUCAAAUGUGAAUUCGAGGGCUGCGACAGGCGCUUCGCCAACAGCAGCGACAGGAAGAAGCACUCGCAUGUCCACACCAGCGACAAGCCCUACAACUGCAAAGUGAGAGGCUGCGACAAGUCCUACACCCACCCCAGCUCCCUGAGAAAACACAUGAAAGUGCACUGCAAAUCCCCUCCUCCCAGCUCCGGCUACGAGUCCUCCACGCCCUCCUUGGUGUCCCCCUCCUCGGACUCCGGCCGAGAGCCCCCCGCCUCCUGCUCGCACGCUGAGCCCUCCGCGCCCGCGCAGCCCGCCGCCAACCUGAGCGAAUGAUGUCUACCCCGUUGCUCUCAAGGUAAUCUAGACAGACGCAGCUGAAAGCCUGAAUCUUUUGCCUUAGACAUCAAAGCAAGCUCGCACAAAGAAGUAUUUCUUCACAACGGUGAAUCUUCAUGGAUCCAUCCCGCUCUGAGACCAGGACCACGUUGACUCGUCUGCAUCAGGUGCCGAGAUCCCAUAGGAUGCAAAGGGUGCAGGCACCAGUUCUCGCUUUUCAAAUUCUGCACGUCAGCUUCGUUUUCUUCUUCAUCCGAGGCAAUCAACCCCAUGGCCAGGCUGGAGUAUACCGGGCUAUGAGGAAACCUUUUUCUUAAAAUAAAUAGGACGCUCUAACAAAUCGGCAGAUUUUUAGUUGACUUUUUUUUUUUCUUUUCUUUCCUCCCACGUCAGAGUUACCCACAGAAUCGACUCGAUACUGUCGUAAAACCUGUCUUCCUGUCAUUGCGGCUGUGCCUGGACUGGGGAAGCCACCCCUGGGUGCCAAGUUGAGCCCCCGGUGGCAGGAGCCGGGGUGAGCCUUGAGGGGCUACACCGCCAGCCCAAGCUGGGGGAACCCCCAGAGUACCUUGCCAGAGCCCAGCAGUUCCCUCUUGCCCCCCUCCCGCCUCGCUGCUGCCCCUGAGGAUACCUGCUACCGGUCUCCCUGAAAGUCAGACAAAAGCGCGGGGAUCACUAUUCCCCCACCACCCCCAGCUGGUUCGGGAAGACACACAAAAAAUUAGUCUCCAACUUUUGCCUGGUCACUGCUGGCUUAAAUUGUCCUCUGCCCUGGAUGAGGGCAAUAGUGAAGCAGUGGGAGCUCCUUGCUCCACCGCCUGCUCCUGGGAGCGGCCGGGAAAUAGGGUGCAUCUGAACUUGGGCAAAACUGGACUGCCCUCCUGCAGCCCUCCCUCCUCCCUCGUUCUGGGGAGUCCCGGAGUGGGGGACUCAAAGGGAGGUUUCAAGGGGGGAGGUUUUGUUAUCCCUACCUGAGGACAGAUUAAUCCUCACAUAUACUUGAUAAAAAUGAAGACCUUGCUGGGAGGAAGAGGGGAAAAAAAUGGGUAGGAAAAGAAAGGAGUCACUGGAUUGUUAUUGUCUAGAAAACAGGCCACCUUUAAAAACCUGUUGUAGAAAUACAGAGACUCCUUUAAGUGUGAAAUAUCAUUUCAUUGUAAAUAGUCAAAAAAGAAUCGGUAAUCCAACUUCCGGAAACUGUUCUGAAUUAUUUCAGCAGACUCUUUUAAAAGAGGAUUAGCAGGGCUUUAGGGGCAAAAUCCUUCUGUUUUAUUCAAUCUCUGAUUUUAUGUUAUAAUUACUAGAUGUAAAGACUCGCGAAUUAGUAUGCAGGCGUCGUUCAGACAUUAUGCAGGUGCUAUUCUAAUCAUUCAGCUUUUUAAUUAAGGAACGAGGUAAGAAAACAGAAUCAUAAAAACACUUUUGUGAGAGCUGAGAAAAUCGUGAGCGACUGCAUGAAUAAAGCCUUUAUACCUUAUCCUGACAGGUCAGACACCAAUUGCCUGACUUACGACCUUUUCUUGCUGAAACAAUGGUUAACAGCUUUCUCACCUUGUUCCCAUUAUAGCCUUUAUUCUCGUUGAGAAUUUAUGGAAAUGGCCCUAAAAUGCUUACACUAAAAAGGGAUGCAAAAAGGUAUUGCAAUUUUAAUUGGUGCGCGUCCCGUACAAAGAUACUUUAAUUCGGGUCUUUCGGAAAUUGAGGGACUCAGCUCGGCACGAGGAUUUGGGUAAAUCGAAACGGUUUGAAGCACAAAAUUCUCAUCCAGGGGAGGAGGGGACACAAACAAACAAGAAAGCCACCCAAAGUUGCCGGAAUGCCCGGGCAGCCGCCGCGGCUGGGACGGAGCCGGGUCCCCCCUUUGUUCAGCGCAUCAGAAGGCAUCGUGUUUCUUGAUCCCGCGAUGCAAACUUAAAGCCUUUGUGGGGCUUUGUUAUUAUUAUUUAAUUUCUUUCCCUCGCCUUCCUCCUCUCCCCUCCUCUGCACCCUCCCCACGCCUGGCAUGACUGCAUCACGUGUAUUAACAUAUGAAUGAAACAACCAGAGCCAAUGCACUUAAGGUAAUACCUAUGCUCAGUUCUCGCCUGAUUAUCUUUUUAUAGAAAGUUACAUUAACUAAUGACAUUUACAUAAAUAUGAAUAAUUAGUAAGGUAAGUAAUUCUGCUCCGACGGGGGAAGGCGGAGUAGGGAAAAGCCUGAGACCUGAGCCCAAUUUUCCUCUCCGCAGACCUGGGCUCUGCUUCACCCUGGCACCGGACAGGAGGCAACGGAGUCCUCCUCAGGGAGGGGGGGAACUGUCACAUUUAUAUUGUUUUCUCUCUCUUUUUUUUUUUUUCCCCUUAAUGCGAAACUUUUCUCUUGUGUCCCUCUUUUAUCUUCCCUCCAGACCUCCAGUUCUGAGCAGAGUUCAGUGGCUGUAAAUGAUAGGUUCCCAAAAGCAUCAAUCCGCGCUCCUCUAGUACUUGGCCGAGAACAAUGCAAGUAUUAGGAUAUCAGCAGCACUCGAAAUGAUCACGCGUUAAAUUAUUUUGCUUUCACGGAUGAGGGGGCUUUUUUCCAAUGUAAAUCAAGCGCUUUAGUUAUUAAGUCUGAACACUAAUCUCCAACAACCUUUACAUAAUGUGGCAGAAUGUGCCACACCACUUCGCACCUGCACUCUGAAUAGAGCCGCCUUUUCAAUGUAAGACACGCUUGUUGCCCCUGGGCUCCAAAGGAGUUGUGUGAAUAAGUCAAGCUUUUUGAAUACCCCUACUCGCUUUCUCUUCCUCCUUUGAUCACAGAAAAUGUCUUCUAAUUUGUCCUUUUUCAUUGUAACAACGUUUUCAAGUCUCUUUUUAUUUUCCAAACCACAUAUUUAUAAAGAACAUAAAUCGCCCCAGAAAACAAAAGUUCUCUCCUCGCCAACUGGCCGAGUAGCCUAUGACCACUUUGUUAUUCACAAGGAGAAGGGGAAAACAAGGUUCUCGCAAAGACUGUUGCUUCUCGAGUUUGUCCUAAACAAACGUUUAACUUUGGGACGGGACGCGAGGAAAGAAACAUGUUUGUUCCCCUCAAAAAUAAAGGCAGAUCCAUUUGCCUUGGGGAUCCGCCCGCUGCUCUCUCCAGGCUGGUGGCCAGCUGCAUUUCAACCUUCUACCGGCGACAAAUGGCGAGGAGGAGGGCAGAAGGCAGGAGAGAGCGAUGUCUCUCCUUGACUACUGGAGUGACUGAAGUCUCCACCAACUUCCUGAGCCCACCAGACAGGUCAGGGAGAAGCCAGCUGUAGCGAGCGGCUUCGCACACAUUAAUUCUUAGCUGAGCUGCCUACUUUAACGACCUUCGACGAUAAUGAGCUCUAAUUUAUAAAUCCGAGCAAGGUGUCGAAGUUCUUAGGGAGAAGAACUGCUAAAAACCCCACUCAGGCUCCUUUCUCCCCCUGCCCGCCAGCUCCCCGACACUAUUUUUCUCCAAGGAGUAGGGCAGCGGCUGCACCGACGCCGAGCGCUCGGUGCCCGGCCCGGCUGCUCCAGGCUGUCCUGCCCGUUCUGCAGCCCCGAACCAGCUGCGGGGGGCAGAGGCGAGAGCCCAGCAGGGAUUCCACCCCCUGCUUUCACCUCAGCCCCGUCUCAGACAUCUCCGAGGUGCUUUGCCCGAGUGCCUGCUUAGGAGCAGUAGGUUAAUGGCAUUUAGUGAAGUUGGUCUCUCUGCAGGCUAAGCCCAACCUAGGAGUUUCUCACUCCUCCUUCUCACAGACGGGUUUCCGGACGACUCUUUAACAUCCCUAUUCAUUAGUACGUUAAUCAAGGCUGUAAUCCCAGCGAAGAGGUGCCCGUGCAUUCCUGCUGCAGCCAAAGCCGCCUCUCGAGCGUGCACCUACGAAGCACCGCGCAGCGCCCGCUCCCCCCUCCGACGGGUGCUUCCACCGAGAGGCUGUUUCCUUACAUUACCGUAGGCUCCUCGUAAGAAAACCAACAAACCCUUCUAAUACAGUUUAAAACACUUUGAUGUCUUGCCAAGAAACACACUUCCUUCAAGAGACAAGUCAACAUUUGUUUUUCACAUUAAAUGGCAUUUAGUUGCCACUGAAAAAAUGAUGCUGAAGGACCACUUUUUAAUUCGAUGUAUAACAACCGCGGGGGUCUAAGAGAAAAUAACGGCGAAAGCUAUAGACACAAAUAACUAAAUUACCAAAACGUUAGUAUAUCUCCUAGGUUCAUUAAUAUGUAACAGACUCCCCAGUUAAUCUCCAAAAGCCAGUGUUCCCCCUCUAAAAUAGCACUCUGGGACGAAUUGUACAGGAGAUCAAUCACUGCUAAUGCAGUAAGGUUUACUGCAAGGGGGGAAAAAGCUAUUUACACCUUCAAAUAGAAGCUUUUGAGAUUUAAGAGUAAGGGUCAUACAUCACCAAGAAUAAAUGAUUAUGAAUUGGUAAACGCGCCCUCCAGCCAUUAGCUAUGCGACACGAUUUAUCAUUUCUGGGUGUUUUUCUUUUUAAAAUCAUCUGGCUGUUUGAAAAGAAAAGCAUGACGGAGAAAAAAAACACCGCGGGAAAGUUUGUUUUUGCAUAUACUAUAAGUCAUCAAAACAUGGCUAUUCAGAAAUAAACGGGGUCACUUAUGAACUGCUUAACGAGAGACAAUAAAGCCCUUUCAUUGUACACUUUUAUAACUCAGGGAUCGGUAGGCUUCUCCCAGCCCAGCCUCCGGCCGUCUCUGCCUUUUUUCCUCCUUUCGUUGCAAGUUACAAACCCAGGAGUGUUGUAAGAAAUCAUUUACGCCAAAAAAAAAAAAAAAAAAAAAAAAAAAGGUUACCGGUGUCUUUCCUUCC